AACGAACGCUGGCGGCGUGCCUAAUACAUGCAAGUCGAACGAGAAAGUGGCUUCGGUCAUGAGUAAAGUGGCAGACGGGUGAGUAAUACAUAGGUAACCUUCCCUUAAGAUGAGGACAACCUUCCGAAAGGAGGGCUAAUACUGAAUGAGACCACGAGUACUACGGUACAUGCGGUUAAAGAUGGCCUCUACUUGUACGCUAUCGCUUAAGGAUGGGCUUAUGCACCAUAGCUUGUUGGUGAGGUAACGGCUCACCAAGGCUAUGAUGGUUAACUGAUCUGAGAGGUUGAUCAGUCACACUGGAACUGAGACACGGUCCAGACUCCUACGGGAGGCAGCAGUAGGGAAUAUUGCGCAAAUGGAGGAAACUCUGACGCAGCGACGCCGCGUGGGUGAUG
rnacentral:rRNA from 1 species